rnacentral:rRNA from 1 species
CAGCAGCCGCGGUAAUACGAGGGGAGCUAGCGUUAUUCGGAAUUACUGGGCGUAAAGCGCACGUAGGCGGCUUUGUAAGUUAGAGGUGAAAGCCCAGAGCUCAACUCUGGAAUUGCCUUUAAGACUGCAUCGCUUGAAUCCAGGAGAGGUGAGUGGAAUUCCGAGGGUAGAGGUGAAAUUCGUAGAUAUUCGGAAGAACACCAGUGGCGAAGGCGGCUCACUGGACUGGUAUUGACGCUGAGGUGCGAAAGCGUGGGGAGCAAACAGGAUUAGAGACCCCUGUAGUCCCUGUAUCUUAUAC